UACGUAGGGUGCGAGCGUUGUUCGGAAUUAUUGGGCUUAAAGGGCUCGUAGGCGGUUUGUCGCGUCGGGAGUGAAAUCCACUGGCUUAACUGGUGGCUUGCUUUCGAUACGGGCAGACUGGAGGUAUGCAGGGGAGAACGGAAUUCCUGGUGUAGCGGUGAAAUGCGCAGAUAUCAGGAGGAACACCGGUGGCGAAGGCGGUUCUCUGGGCAUGUCCUGACGCUGAGGAGCGAAAGUGUGGGGAGCGAACAGG
rnacentral:rRNA from 1 species